GACAGAGGAUGCAAGCGUUAUCCGGAAUGAUUGGGCGUAAAGCGUCUGUAGGUGGCUUUUUAAGUUCGCCGUCAAAUCCCAGGGCUCAACCCUGGACAGGUGGUGGAAACUACCAAGCUAGAGUACGGUAGGGGCAGAGGGAAUUUCCGGUGGAGCGAUGAAAUGCGUAGAGAUCGGAAGGAACACCCAAGGCGAAAGCACUCUGCUGGGCCGACACUGACGCUCAUGCACGAAAGCGUGGGGAGCAAACAGG
rnacentral:rRNA from 1 species